rnacentral:rRNA from 1 species
CAAGUCGUACGGGCCGCAAGGCCAGCUGGCGCAAGGGUGAGUAAGGCGACGGUAACCAACCCCGUGAUCGGGUAUAGCCGCGGGAAACCGCGGGUAAUCCCCGGCGACGUCCGGAGGGGGCAUCCCCCCCGGACCAAAGCCCCGGCGUCGCGGGACGGGCCGUCGAUGCUAUUAGCUUGUUGGCGGGGUAACGGCCCACCAAGGCUGUGAUGGCUACCGGGCGUGCGAUCGUGGCCCGGCACACUGGGACUGAGACACUGCCCAGACUCCUACGGGAGGCUGCAGUCGAGAAUCUUCGGCAAUGGGCGCAAGCCUGACCGAGCGACGCCGCGUGGAGGACGAAGGCCUUCGGGUUGUAAACUCCUGUCGAGGGGGAAGAAGGGGCGGCAACGCCCUUGACCGAUCCCUGGAGGAAGCACGGGCUAAGUUCGUGCCAGCAGCCGCGGUAAGACGAACCGUGCGAACGUUAUUCGGAAUCACUGGGCUUAAAGCGCGUGUAGGCGGGACGGCACGUCGGUCGCUGAAAUCCCCCGGCUUAACCGGGGAACGGGCGCCGAUACGACCGCCCUGUAGGGACUUACGGGGACCUGGAACUUCCGGUGGAGCGGUGAAAUGCGUUGAGAUC